rnacentral:rRNA from 1 species
AAUCUUGCGCAAUGGGCGAAAGCCUGACGCAGCCAUGCCGCGUGAAUGAUGAAGGUCUUAGGAUUGUAAAAUUCUUUCAACGGGGACGAUAAUGACGGUACCCGGGGAAGAAGACCCUGCUAACCUCGUGUCAGCAGACGCGGUAACACGCAGGGGGCUAGCGUUGCUCGGAAUUACUGGGCGUAAAGCGCGCGUAGGCGGACAUUUAAGUCAGGGGUGAAAUCCCAGAGCUCAACUCUGGAACUGCCUUUGAUACUGGGUGUCUUGAGUGUGAGAGAGGUAUGUGGAACUCCGAGUGUAGAGGUGAAAUUCGUAGAUAUUCGGAAGAACACCAGUGGCGAAGGCGACAUACUGGCUCAUUACUGACGCUGAGGCGCGAAAGCGUGGGGAGCAAACA